GCUACAGGCUUAACACAUGCAAGUCGAGGGGCAGCAUUUCAGUUUGCUUGCAAACUGGAGAUGGCGACCGGCGCACGGGUGAGUAACACGUAUCCAACCUGCCGAUAACUCGGGGAUAGCCUUUCGAAAGAAAGAUUAAUACCCGAUGGUAUAAUCAGACCGCAUGGUCUUGUUAUUAAAGAAUUUCGGUUAUCGAUGGGGAUGCGUUCCAUUAGGCAGUUGGUGAGGUAACGGCUCACCAAACCUUCGAUGGAUAGGGGUUCUGAGAGGAAGGUCCCCCACAUUGGAACUGAGACACGGUCCAAACUCCUACGGGAGGCAGCAGUAAGGAAUAUUGGUCAAUGGGCGCAGGCCUGAACCAGCCAAGUAGCGUGAAGGAUGACUGCCCUAUGGGUUGUAAACUUCUUUUAUAUGGGAAUAAAGUUUUCCACGUGUGGAAUUUUGUAUGUACCAUAUGAAUAAGGAUCGGCUAACUCCGUGCCAGCAGCCGCGGUAAUACGGAGGAUCCGAGCGUUAUCCGGAUUUAUUGGGUUUAAAGGGAGCGUAGGUGGACAGUUAAGUCAGUUGUGAAAGUUUGCGGCUCAACCGUAAAAUUGCAGUUGAUACUGGCUGUCUUGAGUACAGUAGAGGUGGGCGGAAUUCGUGGUGUAGCGGUGAAAUGCUUAGAUAUCACGAAGAACUCCGAUUGCGAAGGUAGCUCACUGGACUGCAACUGACACUGAUGCUCGAAAGUGUGGGUAUCAAACAGGAUUAGAUACCCUGGUAGUCCACACAGUAAACGAUGAAUACUCGCUGUUUGCGAUAUACAGUAAGCGGCCAAGCGAAAGCAUUAAGUAUUCCACCUGGGGAGUACGCCGGCAACGGUGAAACUCAAAGGAAUUGACGGGGGCCCGCACAAGCGGAGGAACAUGUGGUUUAAUUCGAUGAUACGCGAGGAACCUUACCCGGGCUUAAAUUGCAUUUGAAUAUAUUGGAAACAGUAUAGCCGUAAGGCAAAUGUGAAGGUGCUGCAUGGUUGUCGUCAGCUCGUGCCGUGAGGUGUCGGCUUAAGUGCCAUAACGAGCGCAACCCUUAUCUUUAGUUACUAACAGGUCAUGCUGAGGACUCUAGAGAGACUGCCGUCGUAAGAUGUGAGGAAGGUGGGGAUGACGUCAAAUCAGCACGGCCCUUACGUCCGGGGCUACACACGUGUUACAAUGGGGGUACAGAAGGCAGCUACCUGGUGACAGGAUGCUAAUCCCAAAAGCCUCUCUCAGUUCGGAUCGAAGUCUGCAACCCGACUUCGUGAAGCUGGAUUCGCUAGUAAUCGCGCAUCAGCCAUGGCGCGGUGAAUACGUUCCCGGGCCUUGUACACACCGCCCGUCAAGCCAUGAAAGCCGGGGGUACCUGAAGUACGUAACCGCAAGGAGCGUCCUAGGGUAAACUGGUAAUUGGGGCU
rnacentral:rRNA from 1 species